rnacentral:rRNA from 1 species
GACAGAGGGUGCAAACGUUGUUCGGAAUUACUGGGCGUAAAGCGAGUGUAGGCGGUUUGGUAAGUCGGAUGUGAAAGCCCCGGGCUCAACCCGGGAAGUGCACUCGAUACUGCCAAGCUAGAGUAUCGGAGAGGUUGGUGGAAUUCUCGGUGUAGAGGUGAAAUUCGUAGAUAUUCGCAAGAACACCAGUGGCGAAGGCGGCCUUCUGGACAAUGACUGACGCUAAAACACGAAAGCGUGGGGAGCAAACAGG